CGGUGAAUACGUUCCCGGACCUUGCACACACCGCCCGUCAAGCCAUGGAAGCCGGGUGUACCUAAAGUCGUUAACCGCGAGGAGACGCCUAGGGUAAAACUGGUGACUGGGGCU
rnacentral:rRNA from 1 species